rnacentral:lncRNA from 1 species
AUCAUAUUAUUAAUAUAUUUGUAUAGGUAAGCCUUAUAAGUUAAAAGAAAACAAUCACAUAUGGUAACUUAAAAAUAAAUAGAAAUAUGGAUAGCUAAUAAUAUUAUAUCGUUACAAAGGUUGUUGUUCAUGAAUGAUAGUAUCUAAUAAUAAUACCAAUUAAUAAUGUCGUUUCUAAAUAUCCAAUAUUUACUUGAUAGGUACCCAUGCAGUUGUAUAACAAGUUUGUGUCGGAAAAUCCAUUUUUUUCUGUAUGUUGGAUACAUUUAGUUUAAUUUGUAAUACCCACACAUCAAUCGAAUAAUAAUUUACCAAAAAAGAAGACCAAUUUAAAACCAAUGACCAUGAUAUCUUGGGAAAAGGCUACUCGAAUGUUUGAAUAGUUAAUAACUUAUCGAUAGGUAACCGGUACAAUAGUAUGUGACUCGUAUUUAUAAUAUUAAUCAAAAUUAAAUGAAAUUGUACAUUGGCAAAAUAAUAUAAAAAAACAAACGUUUGCGGUUAUAUUAUAUUGUACUCAAGAGAACUUGGACAUUUUUUCCGAACGCAAGAACGCGAAGAUAACAACACGACCAGUUACAGCCGUCAUAGAAUUCUGAAACCGAUUCUAACGACUUUUUGUUGUGGUUUUUUUCCCUUUCAGCUUUAUUUAAACCCGUUGUAAUUCUCCAUCUACUAGGUUUUAGGUUUACAUUUAGGAGUACAGAAUACUAACUUCCUUUGAGCUAUAGUUUCAGGUUUGGAUCGACAGGUUGAAUAGGUUUUCGUUUUAGAUUAACGUAUUAAUAGUUUAAAUAAAAGUGUCGUACAUAGAUUGUUUGUAAUCAAUAAUUGUAAUAUAAUAAAAAAAAAAGAUACAAUUUUAUUUGUUUUUUUGAGUGCUCGACAGACUAAUAAAUAUAAUAAUAUUUUAUUCACCAAAAUAUCUUGGUGUUGUAUAAUAAUAUAGUAUAUGCUGAUCCGUAUUACAAAAACAAUAAUAAGAAGAGUAAGAUUUAAUAUAGGUACCUAUUUUAAUGUAUAGGCAACAACGAUUAUAAAUAUUUACACACAAUCAUUUCCUUAAAUAUUUAAUACAUACAAAUUGGAUAUACAUAUUAUAUACAUAUUAUGUGUGUUUUUAGGAACAUAAAUUAUUUUAGGUAAUAUGAUGUUUUGGCACACUGAUGGGUAGAUGCGGGAGAUAUUGAUCGGUGGGGGGGGGGUUACCGGGGACGGAGGAGAGGAAAAUAACGUUUUUGGAACACGUACGUGCAUGAAAUGGGAAAGCGGGAAUGAUAGGUAUUUACAAGGAAUAUACGAGGAAUGAGGAAAUAACAUAAUAAUAUUAUUUUAGUGAACAUGAUAAUUGCAGAGUCUGAGUUAAAUGGAAAUGCGGUGUGGCUCGUGGUAAUAAAUGUCGCGCGUUUACGAACUAUUCGAAAUUUAUUUGACAACAAUUAUCUGACAUAAUAUCGUGUGGGUAAUAGAAUAAUAAUUACAUGUAUAAUAAAUAUAUAGUGAAUUUAUAGUGAAUAUGUUUAUACGCAAUACUGCAGUAUUGUGUCUGUUAUGUAUAUUUAUCUUUUUUUCCGUUAUUUUCAGCGGCUCCCUCUAUAUUAAAUGAGCUCAAACAAGGAAAUCAGAGUUAUUUUAUAGGUGAAUUAAAAUGAUACAAGUUGGGUUAAUUUCAAUAUAAUUUUCAGCAAUAUUACGGGAGAAUGGUGUUUUUCAAGCUUUCAGUAUCUCUAAAAAUAAAUUCAUCAGGAUAAAAUUUUGUAUAUGCAUGGCGUUAAUAUCAAGAAUAUGUCUUUUGGAGAUUUAAUUUUCAACAAUUUCUAUCAUUUUAGGCUAAAUUGUUACUAUAUUUUUUUUAUUUUGGAAGUACCUAGUAUUAUAAUUGUAGUAAAGUAUAGUAUAGUUUUGAAUUAUUAUAUUAUAUAUUAUAUUAGUUAUUAUAUUAUUUGGUUAUUUAUGUAACCGAAGG